rnacentral:tRNA from 1 species
GCGGAUGUGGCGGAACUGGCAGACGCGCAGGUUUCAGGUUCCUGUGGGUGACCGUGGGGGUUCAAAUCCCUUCAUCCGCACCA